rnacentral:lncRNA from 1 species
UUUUUUUUUUUUUUUUUUUUUUCCUGGCACACAGCUACCUCCAUUUCUCAGGGUUUUCUGCAGUUGGGUGCAGCUAUGCGGCUGAAUUGCGGAAUCUGGGCAGAAGUCUGGCUCAUAACUGCCGCACAGUCCUGUCCCCUCUGUUUCUAGUGACUGAGGAAGAUGAGUGGACGCUUGAGUGUGACGGGAUAGCAGCCGGCCCUCAGUGACUGCAAGGGGCAGAGCUCCCUCUAAUGAUUCCUAGUAUGCUGCAAACCACAUGAGAUACAAAAAUGCAUAGUAGAAAGCUAAGCCACUGAGACUUCAGGAUCGUUUUCACAGCUAUUAGUUGACCUUACCUAAUGGAGAAAGUGAUACUGCAAGUGUGGUGCUUCUGCAAAAAAGUCAAAAAAUAAGAAAUCAAAAUCUUGAGAGGUCAAAAAUAAGAAAACUGUUGUAGGCUUUUUAAAAAUGGUGGCCUUUUGGGUACGUGAUUAAAAUAUUUGGUUAAAUGAUCAUUUUUUGUAACCUAUUAAACCUACAGCCCUAGGGAAAAAAGUUGGAAAACAAAAUGUUAAUAGUGUGUUUUGGCUCCUGUUAGCCAGGUUUCCAUAGGUGUUACAAGAAAUAAUUGAGAUGAGUAAAGAUGAGUUAGUUUUCAAAGAACUAAAAAGAGAGUCCAGAAAUGUGGGGUUUGGCUAAGUUGAAAAAGCUGGCUGUUGCCAUAUAGAUUCCAAACAGAAAAAGAUGAGGCAGGAUUGUGCCUGAUAAAAUCCCUUCGAUACUCAGUCUGGUGAUAAAGAUCCAACUAUUGUUUAUCUUCCACACAGUUGUUUCAGAUCAUCUUAAGGUGGCCGCUAUUAAAAGUAAAAGCCCUGGAAGUGAGGAAGCAUUAGAACAAUAUGUUAGAAGAACUUUCGAUAUUGUUACUAGGACACAGAGUGGAAGCCUAUUAAACUCUUGAGAAAUUUGUAUUGCCAAAAAAAAAAAAAAAAAAAGUUGAGCUGGAUUACAUUUAAACAAAUAAACCAAAACAAAAUGUAAAAACAGCACAAUGACAAUCGAAUAGCAUCUAUUGGAUGUGACAAUAUAGGUGGCAGUGGUGAAUUAUUAGUGAUAUUUUGGUCAAAUGAGAGGUAAUGGAAGUCAGAAUGCAGCUUUGAUUUAGCAAUUUAAGAUUGGUGAAGUAAAGAACUACAGAGAGAGAACAGACAAUUCCUUUGAUAAUUUUGACUGUGAAAGAAAAGUGGGUAUAUGUUGAAAUGAGGUAAGGGAGAGUUUUAUUUUUGCUCAUGUUUUUGUUACAUAAGAUCAGGCAAUUUGAGCAGAAUCAAAAACUGAAUGGUAUAUUCCUAUAGAGAAGCAGUUUGAAGUUAUAGAAUAUUAAAAAGUAGAAAUUACCAACUAGGGCAAGAAAGCAGCUAUGCAAAUAGAGAAGUUCUGGUCUCAGACAUGAGGAGGAACACAUUAUGUGCAACACCCACAGAAGGACAUUGCAAACCAUUUAGUCCUGAAGUAUCUAA